rnacentral:rRNA from 1 species
GAUGAACGCUAGCUACAGGCUUAACACAUGCAAGUCGAGGGGAAACGGCAUUAAGUGCUUGCACUUUUUGGACGUCGACCGGCGCACGGGUGAGUAACGCGUAUCCAACCUUCCCAUGACUAAGGGAUAACCUGCCGAAAGGCAGACUAAUACCUUAUGGUCUUCACUGACGGCAUCAGAUGUGAAGUAAAGAUUUAUCGGUUAUGGAUGGGGAUGCGUCUGAUUAGCUUGUUGGCGGGGUAACGGCCCACCAAGGCAACGAUCAGUAGGGGUUCUGAGAGGAAGGUCCCCCACAUUGGAACUGAGACACGGUCCAAACUCCUACGGGAGGCAGCAGUGAGGAAUAUUGGUCAAUGGGCGAGAGCCUGAACCAGCCAAGUAGCGUGCAGGAUGACGGCCCUAUGGGUUGUAAACUGCUUUUGUAUGGGGAUAAAGUCAAUCACGUGUGAUUGUUUGCAGGUACCAUACGAAUAAGGACCGGCUAAUUCCGUGCCAGCAGCCGCGGUAAUACGGAAGGUUCGGGCGUUAUCCGGAUUUAUUGGGUUUAAAGGGAGCGUAGGCCGGAGAUUAAGUGUGUUGUGAAAUGUAGACGCUCAACGUCUGACUUGCAGCGCAUACUGGUUUCCUUGAGUACGCACAACGUUGGCGGAAUUCGUCGUGUAGCGGUGAAAUGCUUAGAUAUGACGAAGAACUCCGAUUGCGAAGGCAGCUGACGGGAGCGCCACUGACGCUUAAGCUCGAAGGUGCGGGUAUCGAACAGG